CUGGGUGGUGGGAAGUACUGACCUGUGCUCGUGUCCGUCCUAAAACCUGAAACCUGGUAGAGUUUCUUUUCCUGGUCCAGAACGGCCUGGAAAGGCAGGUUAGAUGGGCAGCUGAGCAUUUGACAAUUGGGUUACAAAAGGAGAAGUCAGCAUUAUCAGAAAGGACUUUUCUUACAGCAAGAAGUAAGUUCAGGUGUGAUGAGAAGCACCGCUGGUUAACGUUGCUGUGAUCAGUGAGGUGAUUAAAGACAUUCACAAAUGGGAAAUGAGUGAAAACGUGCAUGAAGCGUUUGUGAAGGAAAAGCCAUUAUGGUUGGGUUUGUGUAUAAACCUGCCUCCAUCUCUGUUGCCAGUCAGCCCGAUUGCAUGACUGAUAGGGUUCGUAGAAGACUUCCUCGGUUUAUAUUCGCUGUAUGUCUGCGUAUUUGUUUCAGCUGUGUUGCAACAGGAGAUGGCAGAGUUCCCAACCAAGAGCGUGGCAUGCCAGUAUGAGAAUAGACGUGUUUUAUAGUCUCCUUAUCCUAGUGAUUUCCUUCACAACUGUGAGUGUUACUGCCCUCCUGCUUGUUCCAGCUGAACAGUGUACUUAUGUGUUUAUUUCCUACUUCUAUGGGUAGAGAAAUUCUUGGUCUUUCUGAUAAUUUGUCUCUUUUUCCAGGAUACGGUCUUCCUUUUGCUGGUAAUUCUUGCUAAGAACUCUUAGCUCUUGCUCAGUGUUGUUCCUUUUUUCUUCUUGGCUGGCUGCGAGUCUGAGCUCCAAAUGCAGCUUUCCAGGAGCUACCUAACUGCUCUGUCUUCUGUCGGCCUGCAAGCUUGCCCUAACUACUGAAUUUCUCUUGAUUUUCAAUAGAUAUUUUUUUUUUUGGUAGCGAUGUGUGCGACACAAAUUGUUUUUCCUUUUCAACUCUAGAUUUGUCUUAAAAACCUUAAUUACAAAACCAUUUAGUUUUCUGUCUUAGUAAAUUUGUCUGUACAAAACAACAGCUAUUAUGAUUGUCUCAAUAGAUUGGUAUUUUCCAAGCAGCUACAAUUUGUUUGAGGAUGAAAAUUACCUGCAGAAUAGAAAUAUCAGCAUCCCCACUCAAUUCUCCUGCCUUCAUUUUCUCUCUCAUCAACUUUGUAUCAACUUAAACUGCAUUUAUUGGUAUUGGUUCAUCCAAGAUCAUCUCAGCUGAUCACUGUAUCUUCACUGCUGUUAGACCUGUUUUUCUUUUCCCUAGCCACUUGAUAUGCUAUACUUCCUCUCUUCUCUGCAAUAGCCAAGUCGAUAGCAGAGCUAAUCUGUUUUGAUUGAUAUUAUGAGGAUGCCACAGUAGUUGAACAACUUCAGCUGAGCAAUUGCUGUGAAUUUAUGUGAUUUACUCUGGAGGAGGAAAGUAGCUGAAUGAAGACAAGAAGAGAGGCAGGCUCUGAGAGAUGAGGAAGCAGAUGGUCCAAAGCAGGACUAAAACCGAGAUAGCAGGAAUUGGAGAAGUGGGUGGUUGUGGAGUGACAUGGCUAAAGGAAUAAAUGUCAGAAAGAGAUGUGACUCAAGAGUUAUGUGGACAGGAGGACAGUGCGUUCUGCAUGAGGGCUGCUUCUUGUGUCUUUUCAGCUCACCUACUUUGCAUCCUUGUGGCUUACUGUCAGAGAGUUGAAGGGGCAUGGAGAAGGAAGAGCUGAUAAGCCAUGAAGAAUUGCCACAGGUCCCAGUGCAUCUUGAUUCAGUUUUCCUGGUAGCUGGGAAGGCAGUUUGUUCCAUGCAACUGGGGGUGCUGCGGGAGCUGGCUGAUGUCAUUGCAAGUCCCGUAUCUGUAGUCUUUGAAAGGUCAUGGUUAAUAAGGGAAGGUUUCUGAUGAUUAGAAAAGAGCAAAUGUCUCACACCCAUUCAAAAGGGCAAGAAGAAGGAUUGGGAACUAUAAAACAGUUAAUUGAACCUCAGAAUCUGGGAAGCUGAUGGCACGCAUCCUCCUGGGAAGUUUUUUCUAAGCCCACGAAGGUCACUGCGAACAGCUGGUGCGGAUUUUACAAGGGCAGAUUGUGCCUAACCAACCUGAUUGCCUUCUGUGAUGAGAUUGGCUCAGUGACCAAGGAGAGACCAGUGGAUGUGUUUUACCUUGGCUUUAGCCAGGCCUCUGACAUGAUCUGCCAUAGUACCCUUGUCCCCAGUUGGUGAGAUAUGGAUUUGAGAAGUAGACUGUAAGUUGGAUGGAAAAUUGCCUGAUCUGCGGGCUAAAUGAUGCUGGUCUGUGGGCUGGUGCACUUAGCAUACAGGAAGAGGCUGAGAGAACUGGGUUGGUUCAGCCUUAAGAAGAGAAGUCUAAGGGGAAUCUUACCGUUGCCUACAACCACCCAAUGGGAAGGUUAGAGAAGACAGAGCCAGCUUCUUCUCAGAGGCACUCAGGCAUAGGAUGAGCAGUAACAGGCACAAGUUGCAGCAUGGGAGGUUCAGAUUAGAGUGGCUAGACACUGGAAGAGGGGGCAGAGGGGCUCUGGGAUGUCUCAUGUUGGAGAUAUUCAAAACUUGACUGGGUAAGGUGGCCCAGCUUUGAGCUCCCUUGAGCAGGGAUUAAAUAACCUUCAGAGGACCUUCCAACCUAAAUUGUUCUGCCAACCUUCCAACCUAAAUUAUUCUGUAUAUCGACAUACCAGCCUUGGACCACUGAUACCUGUUUCCCUGUCCAAGCCAGCUGAUACCUGUUUCCCUGCCAGCUCAACAGGCAGCUGUCUAUUAGCCCUAGGUGAUACACAAGCAAUGGUAUGCAGCCGCAGCUGCGACAGUCAGCUAGGGCCAAAGCUCCACCAGUGUUGCUAGUUUGACCACCUCCGCAUACAUCAUCUCUAAUGGCCAAGGCUACUUCCUUCUGUCCAAGAGCUACAAGAAAGUGUCUAGUGAGGAUUGGGGCAGGGGAGUUGGGGAGAGGGGCCCUUGGACGUGGUGGUAGCUUCUAGUAGAGACUGGAAGAGAAGUUUCUUCUUGGCAUCAGAGACUGUUGGUUAGGAAACAGUGAAAAGAGAAUAUUGGUGGAGGCUUUCCUCUUGAGUCCUUGAAAGACAUUGCUGUACCUAUUUUCCUCAUCCCCUUCCCCACUGGUGUCAUUCUGCCUCGUUUGCCUGUGUCCGACAGACUACUCUACCUCAUCAGACCUUUACCACCUUGAUUCAAACGCUGUGCAGUCUAUUAUGUGCUCUUCUUCUGCUGGAAAGUCUCUGUCCAGAUGCUGGUGAUGGGAAAAGCGUAAAGACUGGAGGGGUCCUUCGUUAUUCACUACCAGUGGUCCACCUAUUCUUCACGUUUUCCAGCAAAGUGCAAGAAGCAAAGUGUUUUAAACGUUCAGAAAGAUGACAAAGUUUGAUGUUAUUAAUUUUUUGGGAUAAAUAAAACCAAUAGCUGACAAUGGAGAGCUGUAGAAAGCUCUCAUGAUAACGGGUUACUAGGUGAUAAAAUGGCAGAUGAAUUUCAUUGCAAUAUGUGUGCAAUAUAAUGUAAAUGAGAUAAAGCAAGCUUAACUAUACGUACAGGGCAGUUACCUACUGCGGCUUGUAGGUUUUAAAUUACCUAUUAGUGCUGCAGAGGUUCUGGCAUCAGUAUGGGUUGUUUCAUGAAAAUAUCAACUUGGGGCUCAUGGCAGCCAGAAAGGCAAGUCAGUCUGUGAAGACUGCUAGGAAAGGAUUAAUGGGCAAAAUGUAAAGCAUGAUUAACCCUUUGGAUGAAUCUAUGGCAUGCCCAUAUGCUCAGCGCUCUGAGGAGUUCUGGUCCUUAAAUCUCAAAAGAUACCAUAGGACUAGGAAAGGUACAGAAGGAGCAACCAGUCGAGGUAAGAUAUGGAGCGUCUACGCAGAAGAAAAGAUUAAACAGGUGAUGACUUCAGCAAAUAAGAAAUUACUCUAACAUUUAUACGUAUAGAAGCCCAUAAAAUGCAGGGAAUGGAGAAGGUGAAAAGAGAAAAAUUAUUUUCUGUUUCUCACAAUUUGAGAACGGGGCUGUCAGGUUAUCGCUAGUAAUUUUAAGCAAAUAAACACUUUACUGCUUAAGAAAUAUAUUUAUUUUAGUGGAAAGAGGAAACCAGACAGGUUGUAGAAAGCAAGUUAAAAACGGACAUCUGAGGCUGUUUUCUAGGAGAUUAUAUGAGCUCUUCUCAGGUCUUUCAAAAGCCUUGGAAUUGAAAGCGCUCAGCUCUUCGUUGGCUUAAGCCCUUAUUACUGCCAAUCCCCCUUUAAAGCCUAGGCAAAAUCAACUUAUCCACAAGUUCUUCAUUAUUUCUUUGAGGCGCAUUUGCUGCUGGAAUUUUAUUCCCUAGAUGCUGGAGCUGUUUCUUCCUCUUGUCUCUUAAUGGUCUUCUGGCAAAUUAGGUAUUUCAUCUGCUUUUUUCUUUUUCUGGAUCUUGAACAAAGUAACUUAUGGAGCAUGUAAGGUUUGAUACACAUCAGAUUUUCUCUAGCCAGAAAUUUAUGGCUAAAAUAAAAUAAUGUGACUUUGACCGAGUACACUUGAAACAUUAUAAUUAUAGAAGAUCCAGGUUCACAGCUCACAGACAUAGAAAAUAAGUUUGUUUUAUUUUAUUAGAUUUCUUGUAAUAUGUUCAAACAAAAACAAAUGUGCAUAUACACGCUCUGUCAAUACUGCCAAGUACAAUUUAUUAAGGUUUAUAAAUUUAUUCCACUAGGUCACUUUAUUGUUAAACAGGCAUUGAAUGCAGGAUCAAUGCCAAAGCUGGGAAGGCUAAAUUUCAGAGUUAACAAUCUCAUCUUUCUGUUAAAUAAGUUUGUAAAGGACAUUUCUUGAGGAAGUCCUAAUUAAUUGCAGACCUAAAACCUGGACUGUAUUUCUGUUAAUGCUAUUGUAUCGUUCUGAUAUAUUCAAAUAUCUUCUUUUCCUUAUUUGCAUAAGCUGUAACUUGCACUGGCGUUUCACUCUUCCCUGACGGCUGCAAAGCCCCUCAGCCACAGUCAUUGUAAUCCAGAGCUGAGACUGGGAAUGCGUUUUGGGGCUAUCUCUUGGUGCUUUGUGAUUAACUCGGAGGCCCAGGGAGAAUCUCCUGGUGUUGACAGUGCCUGACAGUAGGUGUCACAUGAAUUGAGAGGGAGCUCAGAGCCUUCUGGUGACUGCUAUGAGAAGAGACAUCAUGACAGAAAACCUGAUUGAUGAGCAAUGCCACAAGUAGAAGGAGUGCUGUGUGGCGAUUGCCUAUAAUUGAAUGGUCCAUGGAAGUUAUUUCUGGAUUUCCUCUGAAUGGUGACAUAUACUUUCAAAGUGUUUUUCCUGUAGGAGACCUACAGAUUUUAACCCGUUUACUCAGCAACUGCCUGUUAAUGCAGCGUAUUAACAGCCUUUAAAACGUAACAGACCAUUUUUACUUCCUGCCUAGCAUGGAGCCGUAUCAUAAAUAAUUAAAUAAGUAUCGACAACCAAAGAUGGUCAGUCAUGUAAUUACCUUGAGAAACGUUUCUGUGUCAGCUUUUGCCUCUUCCUUUUAGUGCUUUCUCCUUAUGGCUCAGUUCUGUGAUCUGACAACAAAGAAACGUUGAUUAUCAGGGUUCUUCCUGAUUCUGGUGGUACGCUCCUGUGACGCGGGCUUGUCGCAGCCGUGUUAAGCGCAGCCGUGAUGCUUGUGGCAGUAUAUAGGAUGUGAGAGGUUGUAGCCCCCUCGCCCAGCAAAGCAUCUGCUCUCACCGGCCAAUUAAAUUGGCUGCUUUCUCAUUAAAACCCUUGUGCAGAUUCUAGUAUGUCACAGAUCUUUAAAAUCUCCAUUAUGAAUUCCACUUUCUUCUGGGUAUUUUUAGCUUGUACUUGAAGAAAUGAUUAUUGUCUCUUGCACUUAAAUAUAUCAGUUUCAGCUCCGUGGACAUCUCCUCUGGGCCAUAUUGAAAGACCUGAGCUGACUUUAACUGCUGAAUCCUUAGGGAGGAUUUCAACAGAGCUCUGAGUGCUUGGACGUUGGAGCUCUGGAAAAAGGAAGAGGGAGAGAAAUCAAGCCCUCCCCUCUUCCCUUUGGGGAGGCAGAAGCACAUCCGUUACAGAUUUACUUGGUUGUGCCAAUUUAAUGUGAUUUUUUUCUGAGGGCCAGGAACCACUCAAGGAAGGCUGACACGUUUUAUCAACAGAAUGGAAACUGCAGUGAUAAGGUGAGAGUUAUUGACCUGAUAACUAACAAACAGAAAACUUCACUGUCCCUCAAGCUAAAUAUUGCACUCAGGAGGUAAGUAAAAGAUGGCAACAGCUGUGGUCUUGACACUGAGUGAGAGUAUGUUUUAGUGUGGAAGAGCAGGAGGUGAACUGUGAAAACAAACACAUUCAGUUUGCUACAGACUGUUUCCCUCUAUUACUUUUAAUGAGAGCUAAAAUCCAAAAUGCACAAUGGGACAAUAAUAUUAUGGAUAGAAGAAACUGUUCAUACAGCUCCUAAUUUCUAGGCACCAGGAUGCAAUUAAAAUGAUUGCAUAAUAUUAAUAGUUCACCAUUAUCAGGUAUGGGACCAAUUGGUACUAGCCACUGCACAAACUGAAGCAAAUGGUGUGCUGUCCUUGAAGAAGCAAUAAGCUAAUAACCUGAAUCUAAAUGAGAGAAGAGUAAAAAGGUGAGAGGAGUUGUGAUAAAAUGCAUCAUUAUAUAGGCUGGUAAGUACGUGGCUGGAUUGUCAUAGUUAAAUGCUGGUAAAUAUUGCCUAAGGUUUUUUUUUUUUCUUUCUUUUUUGGAAUUCUAAAAUUGUAGAAUAGGGAGAGCAAAUGGGAAAAGAAGGGGAGGCAUCCACUGAAUGAGGGUUUAGAAGUACCAGGAACAAAAAGCACUACAACAACAACAGGGUCUUUUUGUCCUGCCUUUUUUUUUCUCUUCUCAUAUAUUUUUUUCUUUUUUUCUUUUUUCUUCUGAAGAACGUGCAUGGGGUUGUGUCUGAAACCUGUCUGUCCUGGUUCUCACAUGCCCCUUGAAGUUCUUGUGUGACAGAAUAUGAAGGAUUCAGUGGCUGAACAAAAAGGCACAAGACAAAGCUCUCAUACAAUCUCCAUUUCCCUCCUGUGGCACCUGGCCUACUCAGUGCAACUGGGAAAGACAAAGGGACCCUCCACAGGCAGGUACUCGCUGGAAGGUCAGAAGUAUUUGUGGUGGUGAAGCUGAGACAUACAGGAAUUUACUGAGGAUAGGGGUGCAAGGCAAUGCAAUAUGGAUUUUAUAACACAGAGGAGGGAGCCCGUCCCUGCAGAGAGGCUGGUGUGUUAACUGCACGUGCUGUUGUGCUGGGACUCCAACAACCGUGAGCAGAAGGCUCCCUGGGCAGACCAGAGGGACCACCAGACCUGGACGCUACUUCUACUUCAUGGGCUUUCACAUGCAAUAUGUCCCUUCAGUGUGGGCCUGGUACUGCAACAGCUGACCAGUGCUGAGAUAUUUGAUCAUUAAUUCCUGAAAGCUUGCAGGGUACUGAGCCCUGCAGCAGAGAUGGGAGCCAUGGCAGGGCAAUGCCCACAGGCCUUGGCCCCAGGUUCCCUCUAGCCUAGCAGAGCUGGCCUAGCAGAAGCGAUCUAACGCACUGAGGAGAGGCCUUGUGUUUGACAGCCGUGUUCCAAUCAGGGGGCCUGUGUGAGUCUCUGGAGAGCUGUAGUAACGGGAGAUCUCUCCAGCUCCCUUCCCUGAGCAAGGGAGUUUACCUUGUUCUGCCAGUAGAGGCUCUUGCCUUUAAACAUGAAUCUUCCUUCAGAACCUACUCCUUGAGGUUUCCUCCCUCUCUUCUACAUAGGUCUGAUAAAGCCUCCUUGCAGGCCCUUUUGAAAGCUCGGUGAUAGAGACUCCUCUGACCCCCUUACCCUGGGUCCAGGGAUCCCAUUGUCUGCAGUGCAGUGGCAGAAGACCUCUCCAUCCUUUCCUUCCAGCUGGAGGUGUUAUGUGUCCUGCCCAUCCCUCCUGUGCUUCCCUGGCUCCCCUCUUGGGAAACGCCUUGUGAAUAUCUGCCUUUUUUUCUGAGGGAUCCGUGACAGAGGACCUUAGAGGAUUUAAUUCCUCCCCACAAGUAUGCCAUAAUAAUAUCUAACUUUUAAAAUAGGACUUCCUUAAAUGUGUGGAAGCUUUUAAAAGGAAAUUAAAGCAGCAGCUGUAAGCAUGCAGUGCUAGCAGGAGAUGAGAACUGAUGAAAAAACUUUCAUCUGAAGCUCAGAGCAAUAUAUCACUAAGUGAAAUAAUUCUACAAGGGACCAGAAAGGCAAUAUGCUAACAGCCGAGUAGAAGAGAGUAUUCAAAAUCUGGGAUUUCUGAGUAAAUAAAGAAACUAUAUGAAAAAGAACGCAUAAACUGUCAAACUAAACCUGUAGGAAAAGCAAGGAAAAAAUUUAAGGUGCAAACUCACCAAAGGAGUAAGAACUACUUGUAUCCAUUUUUUCAAAACUGCCAGAGCAAGGUACUUAGCCAGAGAUUUGGUGAACAGAUGAUCAAGCUCUGAAAGAAGUACUGCAACAGGAGAAAAUUGUGGUUGAACAAGAAACUGAAGCUUUGCGUUGGUGCCAGCUAUGGCUGAAGUAGGUUAUUCUCCCAUGAGAGCCAAACUUUAUGGGGACAAAUGUAAGGAACUGUCUCAAAUUAAAUGGCAUUAAAAUGCAUUUUGGAACUAAUUGAUAAGAUGAACAGUAAGAAAUUGCCAGCACCAUAUGGUAUUCAGUCAAGAGCUCUGAAGGAAAACAAAUAUGCAAUUAUGGAGCUACUAUAGUGUGUAACCUGUCACUUAAAUCAGCCUCACUACAGGAGGGAUAGAGGAUGGUAAAUGUGACAGCAAUCUCUGGGAAGGACCCCAGGAGCAACGCGGAGAAUUGCAGACCGUCACGUUGGAGCCUGUACUGAGCAAAUGAGUGGAAAUUACAAGAAUAUAACGCAAAUGGAUAAAACCCAACGCUUUAGGGAAAGUUGUGUAGUGAGAAACCCCAUUUCACAAAUCCGUUACAACUCCUGAAAGACUUCUGAAGAUGCAGCUAGCGUGAUCUAGUCAUAAUGACAGAAGAAAUGCUCCAGUGAGUCAGACCAGUGAUCCAUCUCCCUGAUUAUCUGCCCGUUGUCCCUAUGACAAUAGGAUGUGCUGUUUCCAGGGAAUAAACAAGCCUGGCCCCUCUCUGUAGUCCAUUCCUCUCAUGCUCCUCCAGCAUCCACAGUUAGUGUGUUAGGGAAGAUAAGAGAGGACAUCCUCUGCCUAGUUCAUUCAGUAUCUGUUUACAGACCUGUGGUCCAUGAGUUUGUCUCAUCUCUUUUUGAACCUGUCUCUCUGCUUGACGUCCUGUAACAGCAAGCUGUAGAAGGUCACUAUGCUCUGUGUAAAGAAAUACUUUUUUUAAACCGAUCUACAAGUUUCAUUAAGUACCUGCUAGUUCUUAUAUCAUAGGCUUUGGAGAACAACUGUUCUGCGUUCGGCUUAUUCACCACCUUCAUGAUUUUAUAAACCUCAGUUAUAUCCCCCUCAGCUGCCUUCUCUCCAAGCUGAGGAGUCCUUUUAGUAUCACUUCCAAAGCAAGAACUAGAAAUCAAUUUAAUCUGUCUGAAGGUUCUUCCUAGUACUGAUAAUUAAGCUGUAAAAUGCUUUGCCAUAGGAUAUUGUGGAUGCUCAAAGUUUAUAUGUGCUCAGGGGAGUAACAGGAAAAGUAAAUGGAGGGAAAUUAAGUUAAAGUGUAAUCUGCUAAAUAUUAAAAUGAAGGAUACUACUUCUCACUCAGAAAGUCUUAAGGAAACUGUUGGAAAACAGAAUAAUAUUUCAAGAAAGCGUUGCUCUCUGCCUGCUAUGUUCUUAGAUGCUUUCCCCAGGUAUCUGUAUUGGAAACAACACGCUGUGUUAGACGAACCUUUGAUCUGACCCAGUGCAACCUUUCUUACGCUUUGUUAAGUUCUAUCAAAAGAAAAUAAAAUGUAGGUAUGAAUGUAAACGCUUCUGAUAGUAACAACUUCCCAGUGAAUGCUGAACUCAUCUCCCCGCUAUACAAGCAAACGGUGAAUUUUUAUUUGAAUGCUAAUGAAGAUCUCACCAAGAUGCUGCUAGGUCUCAUCUAACAAAAAGAAAAGCUAAAUGGGAAAAUGAACAAAGGAUCUUUAAGAAGGGAUGAAAAUGUGUUGCCAAUAUUGAUAUCAUUAACCACUCAUAGGUGAAAAAUAUGCUUGAACUUACUCAUGUAAUUUGAAAUAGGUAAAGCAAAUAUUAAGAAGAAUAUUUUCUUACAAUUAGUCCAUCUCUUCUGUCCCUUGACCCGAAAAGAUCCAGAGUUAAUACUCAAAAGGUGGAUCCUUCUACAGUGAUGUAAUAUAGCCUAGAUCUCUUCCAGUUUUUGAAUCAGAGCUGAGGCAGGUUUCUUUUACAAAGUAGUGCAGCAGUCUAGUAAAAGAGUUGUUCCCUGCUAGAAGAAUAUUACAUGCAGUUCUGAGAAAAAUGAACAUAGUCAGCUUGUUUGAGGGCUAACUGAUGCUUGCCCACAGCACUGAUUAGCUUGACGUUUACUGAGAAGUGCCACAAUUCUCAGUCCAGUGAAAAAUCCCAAGAUGAUGCUUUUUCAGUGAUGUUUUACGAUCUGUUGACUCAAGAUAAGCUGAAGUCCUUCAAAGACUCAAAAAUAAGCAGAGGAGUUAGGUUCCACAUUAAUUACGUGCAGACGUACUAGCCUUCCUUGGUAUCUUUGUUAACUAUCAUGGUCUGUCUACUGAUGCUUUGCAAGUUGUCUAUGCCUUAUGUGUCAUAUUUCAUUCCUGUAAUACAUGAAAACCACUUAUGCAAGAGUUCUUGGUGCUUUGAUUGCAAUUACACAAAUUAUACUUGGAAUAAUGCCACUUAGCACCACUACAUAAAACCAAAAGCUAGCAGUCAUCUUAGGUAGUGUUCUGGGUCUUAUUAUGAUCUUUGCGUGUGGUCUAUGUUCUGGCUUUAUGUGGCAUCCAUGAUAUCUAGUGAUAAAGGACUCUUCAGGAAUAGACCUGAAAAAGACUGGUGCCAAAGGCUUUUGAAUGUCCAAGUAGAUUAUGUCAAGCGAUUCCCUUUUGAUCAUUACUGUAGAAAUAUGUUCAAAUAAAUCUAAAAUAUUAGUGAGGCAAAAUUUUCGUUGCAGGCACUGCGAUAAUUAGCUUUUACUAUAUCACAUUCCUUAUCUAGGAACUCCAUUAUUCUGCUCUUAAUUAUCAUUUUGACCAACUUUCAGUGUGCAGAGCUAUUUCUCUGGCUCAUCUUAUUUUCUUUCUAAAUAGACAUGUAACUCAAAUAGUGAGUAUGAAUUUUCUGACAAAAUUUUUUUUCAGGGGGAAAAAAAAUUCUUAUUUAUCAAAACUUGAACUUUUCACAGGAACAUAUAUUCCAGAUGUCAGAAGUUGCAAAGUCUAUGACUUCGGGUGGUAGUUUGUUCUCAAAUUUAAUCAUCACUGCUGUUAAAAAAUGUGUGUUUCAUUUCUGGUUUGAAUCACUUUCAUUUUUCAGCCCUUAGUCUUUCUUCUGUCUCUGUUAGAUUAAAAAGUGUUGGUUGAUAUUUUCCCCUUGUGAAGACAUUUAUCGAAUCACUUCUCAACUGAGCUGUUUAAGUUUCUCAGUUACACAUGUUCUUCUGUCCUCAUAUACUUUUUAUGGCUCUUUUUCUGCCCCCAAUCUAAUUUUUCAACAUCCUUAAAUGUGAACAUCAGUAUUAGAUAUACUAGUGGUUUCAGUGAUGCGGUAUCCAGAGGUUGAACUGAUUCUUUAUUUCUAAUCACUUCUCCCAUUUUAUCGUGCUUUUACCGAGAGCAUUUGUGGUGAGGUCCUUGUCCAUUAAGACCUCCUAAAUCGUAAUAAUUGCACUCAAAGAUACAGUUUUCUGUUCUGUAAGAAUAGCCCAUAUUCACUGUCUCUAGGUGGUUGGUUCACUGACUACUACUUCUCGAACAUACUCCUCUUGCAUGUUGCAUGAUAUUAAGCUGAGAGCAGCCUCUGUUCUGGGAUGUUCGGGAUCUAAUAGUUCUGAAAAGCACUGUUUUAUUAAAUUGAUUCUGUAAACUUUUUUCCCGUUAUACCAUUAUAUCAGUCAAUUUAUGGAUAGUUAAGGUCCCUGCGUUUAGUUUUUCUCCUCUCAGCACUAAAUGCUGUCGUCUUUCUCUGGUGACCGAUGAGAUAACCCUACUCAUAUAUUUACAUUCAUACAGCUCAGGAAAUGCAGCCAGACACUUUUAGCUGUGUAGUCUUUUCCAGUAAGAAUUUUAGUCUCACUGGAUUCCAUGAAAAAAAUUUUGAUAUAAGAUAAAUUAUUUCACUUUUAUGACUUACACUCACUUUCCAUAGUUUAUGGCCACGUACUAUAGUAUACCAUUGGUUUUGUCACUGGGAUUUACUAUAUUAUGCUACGUCAAAAUCCGAUUUUAUUAUCGAAUUUUACUUCAUCUACUUCAUCAUUUACUUCAUCUUCUUUAAGCUUUUGCCUGUAUAUACACAAAUUUAUAGUUCUGAAUUUUUGGUGUGCACCUGUAUUUAAAUUGUUAGUCCAAUGUCUUCUUGGUGUAAUACAAUUUCACCUGUGAACUAUUCCCAACCACAUUCUAACUAUUCCUAACCCUGUUCAACUUGGUUGUUAUACCAACCCUUAGCAAUCUGUUUGCUUUACCUGGUGACAGAUUUCCCCAAGCUCCUGCUUAAUUAAACACAUCCUAUACGGUUUCCUUGUGAGCAGUCUGGUUUCACUUUUGAGUUUUGACGGAGACCGUCACCUCUGGAUAGCACCUUCUUUCUCUCUGCCUAAUUGGGGUUGUGCGU